rnacentral:lncRNA from 1 species
UACUUUACAACUUAACUUCACAUUCUAUCCUAAGCUGAACUUGGCAUUAUCCUUUUCCUGUAACUGGCCGUAUUCGCCUUAUCUGCAAUGUUUUAUCAUGAUAUAGCAAGGGUGAGCAUGAAAGUUGCCCAACAAGUUUAAAAACAAGGUAAAGAUAUAUCAUGAUGGAAAGAGUUUGAAUAAUAAGCUGACUAUCCUUCACAAUGUAUUUGUGAAUUAGCAUGAACAAAGUUUUGACUGAACAAGUAUUGAACAGGAACAAUAGUAUAUCUGGACCAACUGGUAAUGAAGGUGAUCAGCCUUUCAUACCCGACUUAUACAUGCAAGAUGUACAGAGUACAAUUCAUAAGCAUAUCUGUCUGAAACCACUCUUAAAAGAGUUUAAGUAAAAAGAACUUGAAAAACUUGCCUGAACCAUUGAUUACCGUAACGCAAUAUAAUAAGCUUCUCCUGAAGACCUAAUAUUAAUAAUAUAGAUCUCCAAUAUUAGAAUAAUAUCAUCACCGUUAUAAAAUAACUUAAACACAUAAUCCUAUCAAUCUAUACAGCAUAUAAAACCUAUAAUAGAUCUUUCGAUUAGUCAUAACAUAUAGUUAAGUAUUAGACAUUAGUUUUAAGUCUUAAUAUUCUUAUUAUACUUUGAUAUUCUUUUAAUCACAUCAUAACUUGUACUUAUAAGUUAUUCAUUUUUAUAUGUUAUCCUAGUAAAUUAGAUAACAUCUUAGUAAACCGAAAUACCAUUUCAGUAAGACGGAUUUCAUUUCAGUAUCCUGAAAUCAAUAUUCUUUUUCAAAAAAUACCAAAUCAACUUAUUAUUUUUCUAUCCUUUGGUCAAACACAUAUACAUAUAUUUCAUACACAAAAAUUAUUUUUCCAUAAUUUUCCAAGUUCCUUUAGUAUUUUUUCAAAAAUCAUUUCUAGUUAAUUCCUUAAGAAAUUAGCUACCUUGUGCUUAACUCCAGAGAUGCCCAUCUUUUGACAUAACCUUAUAUAUAUUAACGUGAUGCUCUAUUUUAAAUUUCGUGGCAAUCGGAGUUGUAGAACUCCGGUUAUAGCGAUUUCCGUCGUAAAAUCACAAAAAUUGAAAUGGUCAUAACUCGGUCAUUUUAAGUCGGAAUUAGCUCAUUUUUGGACACGAGGUACUUAAUACCAUGUAUUUUCAUUUCCCAAAAGGCCGGAAUUUAUUUCACACUUUAAGUUGCCAAAACAGCCCCUGGACAGAUCUGGACAGAAACUUUUUGUCAUUUGGCAGUUUUGGAGUCCUUUACUAAAUCUUAAAUAAAAUGAGAUCUGUAACUCCGAUUAACGAUCCGUCAAUUUUAUUGGAUUC